rnacentral:lncRNA from 1 species
CUUCCAGGCUGUCAUCCCUCUCCCAAUCACCUAGGCCAGCCAUCAUCAUCUUUCCACUGGACAAUCACAGCUGCUUCUUCACUGGUUUCCCCCUACACUUGCUCCCUCCAAUGCUUUCUACACUCGGCAGCAGAAUGAGCAUCCCAAAAGCUAAAUUAGAUUCUAUCCUCCCCUACUUUAAACUCUCCAGUGGUUUAAAGUCUUAUUGCCCUUCUAAUAAAAUGUGGAGUGCUUCUUAUGACCCAGAGGGUCCACGCAAUCACUCUGGCUCCCACACCUCACCUCCCAUACUCCUGCCCCACUUCCUCAAGCAAG